UGGGGAAUAUUGGGCAAUGGAGGAAACUCUGACCCAGCGACGCCGCGUGCGGGAUGAAGGCCUUCGGGUUGUAAACCGCUUUCAGCAGGGAAGAAGCGAAAGUGACGGUACCUGCAGAAGAAGCACCGGCUAACUAUGUG
rnacentral:rRNA from 3 species